CUGUCAUAACACCCCCCUCCCCCCCCAAACCAAGAGACCUUCCCCUUUCACCAUCUUCAUCACCUCUCUGAGCUUCCGCCAACAGGCGCUGCCGGAAAUCACCCACAGCGGCAGCCAGUCACGAAAUCACCCCAAUCUUUACCACAUAGUCCCCACACCUCCCUCCUCACUAGUAUCUCACUAAUUUUUCCAAAAUCCCCACCCAUCUUCUCCAAUUUCGGAUAUAAGAAAGUCAGAAAAAACCUAAAUUUGAUUUUUAUGGAAAUUUCAAGAACGUUUUGGGUCAAACUUACAUCUUACAUGAGUUGAUUGCUCUUGACACGAGCAAUCGAUUCAUGUUAGUUUGGUUCAUUUUGAAAGUCACCGGAUGGUAUUCCCAUGGCAAUGACCGCCAAAGUUUCAUCGCCUUCAUCGUUCGUCGAUAUUCAUUUCUGGACAAAAUCAGCAUUUAUGGUGUCUUUAGUGAUGUGGUGUUUUAGAUUUCACGUGAAAGGUUGUAAAUGUUUAAGUGAAUGAAAUUGAAAUCUGCUUGACCUUAUUAUUUUAUUAUUGCCCUUCAACUUCUCUAAAGCAUAUGCUAUCUCUGUUAGGUCAUGUUCUAAUAUCCCAGACUAUUUUGAGCAUGAAUUCUAGUUCAAAUAUGUUCCUAAUGUUGUACUAAGUAAUGUUGGUAGUAAAAUCGUGACAGGAAAAGGUUAUUGCUGCAAUAAACAUGGUUGUAAUUUAUAGAGGUGACUACUAAGUUGGCUAAAUCGGUGAAGCCAAACUCGGCCAUCAGAGGUGUUUGAAAUCAUUGCAUAUUUUUCUCGAUUGAAUUUUUUUGAUGUUUGGGACUGUAAUAUGAAACUUUGACAUGUAAUUGUAAUUGAAAUGAUUUAUGAAGUUAAAUGUUAGAGUAAA